CAAUAGCGUAUAUUAAAGUUGUUGCGGUUAAAAAGCUCGUAGUUGGAUUUCUGGUAGGAGUGACCGUUCCGAACUUGAUUGUUCGUGUAUUGUGUUUUCUCCAGCCAUCCUUGUGGAGAACUUUUCUUGCAUUAAUUUGUAGGGAUUGGGACCCGCAUCGUUUACUGUGAAAAAAUUAGAGUGUUUAAAGCAGGCAAUCGCUUGAAUACAUUAGCAUGGAAUAAUAAGAUAGGACUUUGGUACUAUUUUGUUGGUUUGCAUACCAAAUUAAUGAUCAACAGGAACAGUUUGAGGAUAUUCGUAUGAACAUGUCAGAGGUGAAAUUCUUGGAUUUUGAUCAGACGAACUACUGCGAAAGCAUUUAUCAAGGAUGUUUUCAUUAA
rnacentral:rRNA from 1 species